rnacentral:rRNA from 1 species
ACUCCUACGGGAGGCAGCAGUAGGGAAUCUUCCACAAUGGGCGAAAGCCUGAUGGAGCAAUGCCGCGUGAGUGAAGAAGGUUUUCGGAUCGUAAAACUCUGUUGUUGAAGAAGAACAUGCGUGAGAGUAACUGUUCACGUACUGACGGUAUUCAACCAGAAAGCCACGGCUAACUACGUGCCAGCAGCCGCGGUAAUACGUAGGUGGCAAGCGUUGUCCGGAUUUAUUGGGCGUAAAGAGAAUGUAGGCGGUUUAUUAAGUUUGAAGUGAAAGCCCCUCGGCUCAACCGAGGAAGUGCUUCGAAAACUGGUAAACUUGAGUGCAGAAGAGGAAAGUGGAACUCCAUGUGUAGCGGUGGAAUGCGUAGAUAUAUGGAAGAACACCAGUGGCGAAGGCGGCUUUCUGGUCUGUAACUGACGCUGAGAUUCGAAAGCAUGGGUAGCAAACAGGAUUAGAUACCCCUGGUAGCGACUGA